AUGCAAAGAAGUAACCAACUAACUAGAAGAAAAAAAUGCAGGAUGAAUAACAAUGGUUUGACUGAGCAAGACCUUGUCUUUCGUUUGGGAUCAAGCGCCCAUGAUCAGCAUGGGGGUACUCCAGUUUCAGAAAAUCAAAGUGCCCUACCCGGAGCGGCGCAACUUCCAAGCAAUCCAGAAGUGGGCAAUGCUGGAACUUCUGGACUUAUGGGUGGAGAAGGCAAUCUGGGAGAUGUCCUUAAGUUCAUGGGGAAUUCUCGAAGGGAGUCCCAAGAGAACCAGAACCGCUUCCUCGAAGUGAUACUGACAAGACUAGUUCCUGGAGGAGCACACCUACCCGGUGCAGGAGUUAGCUUGGGAGAAUUUUUGAAAACUCAGCCACCCACAUUCUCCAAGGCGGUGGAUCCACUAGAGGCAGAUGACUGGCUGUUAGAAGUAGAACACAAUCUGGAAACCGUGGGGUGCUCAGAUGAAGAGAAAGUGAGAUAUGCAUCGCACCAGCUAACCGGACCAGCAGCAGCUUGGUGGAGAAAUAUCAGCCUUAACCGAGCAAAUAAUCAGCCUAUCACUUGGGAGGAGUUCAAGGAGAAUUUCUGUCAGACCCAUAUUCCAAAGGGAAAGAUGGAUAUGAAAAAGAGGAAGUUUCGCAAUCUGACUCAAGGUAGCAAGAGGAUAAAUGACUACCUAAACCAAUUUAAUGAUAUGGCAAGGUAUGCUCCAGAUGAUGUGAACACUGAAGCCAAGAAAGUAGAGAAGUUUAUGGAGGGGCUGCAUCCAUUCCUGAAAAUGCACCUCUCGAUUCACGGAAUCACCCAGUUUCAAGACCUUGUCAAUAGGGCCUUCAUACUUGAGAAUGAGCAUGCCAACCUAAGUGAAGAGAGAAGGAAGAAAGCAAGGGUAGAUCCACGCCCCAUGAUGCAUCACCCACGUCCUAUGAUGCCUGGACUAGUGUGUCCUCAUAUGCCACCACCACGGCCUAGAUUUCCUACUCAGCCAACCUUUGUUCCUAGAUGUGGGAAGUGUGGAAAAGGUCAUGCUACUCAAGAUUGUAUGACGGGUACAGGACUUUGCUUCAAUUGUGGGAGACCAGGACACCACAAGCUCAAUUGCACCUCUCCUCCCACGAAUCUUACAAGGCCACCUAUACCGCAGACUCAAAUGCAUCAUCCACCAGCUGGGCGAGGACAAGGUGGACCUAUGAACUAUGCAGCAAGAGGAGUUGGGCGGGGAGGACAAGUAGGAGGACAGCCAAGGCUGAAUUAUGUGGCUGCAGAGCAACUAGGAGACGCUACAGAUGUUGUCAUCGGUAAACUACUCAUUCCUCCUUCAGUUGGUAUAGUUCUUUUUGAUACCGGUGCCACACACUCAUUUAUUUCACAAGAUUUCAUGAAUAAGAAUGGAUUAACAUGCACACCAUUGGAAAAAGCUUUAGGAGUUAACUCACCUGGAGGGAAGAUUACAGUAGAGGCCAUGCGCAGAAAUCAACCAAUAAUAAUCCACAACACCAAAUUUUCAGCAGACCUGCAUGUUAUAGAGAUGUCAGGGUUAGAAAUAAUCCUUGGGAUGGAUUGGUUAGCUGCUAAUGGAGUAAAAGUAGAUUGUGAACUUGAAAGUGUAUCCAUAAGAAAGUUUGAUGGCUCUAGGCUGAUAUAUUUUGGAAGUAGAACCAGACCCAACAAUCCCCUAGUAAUGACAGCAAGUGGACAAAAGAAAGAAAUAAAGGAUAUACCUGUAGUUUGUGAGUUUCCUGAUGUAUUUUCGGAUGAACUGCCGGGUAUGCCACCUGAUAGGGAGUUAGAGUUCAGCAUUGUUUUAAUGCCUGGGGCAUCACCCAUCUCCAAAAGACCCUACAAAAUGUCACAGCCAGAGUUAGUGGACCUAAAGAAACAAUUGGAUGAGCUGAAGGAAAAAGGAUUCAUUAGGGAAAGCAUGUCACCAUGGGGAGCACCAGUAUUAUUUGCAGAGAAAAAGGAUGGAGGGUUGAGACUAUGCACAGAUUUUCGAGACCUUAACAAGGUAACUGUAAAGAAUAAGUAUCCGUUACCGAGAAUAAAUGAUUUAUUUGAUCAACUCAAGGGUGCAUGUGUCUUCUCGAAAAUUGACUUGAGAUCUGGAUAUCACCAAAUGAAAGUGAAGGAAGAUAUUGAGAAGACGGCAUUUGUAUCUCGAUAUGGACACCAUGAGUACAUUGUGGUCCCAUUCGGUCUAACUAAUGCCCCAGCUAUGUUCAUGAACUUGAUGAACAAGAUUUUUAUGCAAUAUCUGGAUAAGUUUGUAGUUGUCUUUACUGAUGACAUAUUAAUAUAUUCAAGAAGCAAGGAAGAGCAUGUUGAACACCUGAGGAUAGCACUACAAUUAUUAAGGGAGAACCAGUUGUAUGCAAAAUUUAGUAAGUGUGAGUUUUGGCUGGACCAAGUAGCUUUCUUGGGGAACGUAAUUUCAAGAAGAGGAGUUGAGGUUGACCCAUCCAAAAUUGAGACAGUUGUGUCUUGGGCUCGUCCGACCAACCCAAGUGAGAUAAGGAGUUUCUUGGGCUUUGCUGGAUACUACCGCAGAUUUAUAAAAGGGUUUUCGCAGAUUACAGCACCAAUCACCAAAUUGCUUAGGAAAGAAGCUAAAUUUAUUUGGACUGAAGAGUGUGAGAGAAGUUUUGAGGAACUAAAGAAAAGGUUAACUACCGCACCGGUGUUGGCAUUACCUGAAAGUGGACAAGAUUAUGUGGUGUAUUGUGAUGCUUCAAAAUCUGGACUAGGAUGUGUUUUGAUGCAAAAUGAUAGAGUGAUAGCCUAUGCUUCUAGGCAAUUAAAGACGCAUGAAGUAAACUAUCCUACCCAUGACUUGGAGUUGGGAGCUGUUGUGUUUGCACUGAAAACAUGGAGGCACUACCUAUAUGGUUCUAAGUGCACACUGUACAGCGACCACAAGAGUCUCAAAUACAUAUUUACACAAAAAGAGUUGAACAUGAGGCAGAGGAGGUGGCUGGAACUAAUCAAGGAUUAUGAUCUGACAAUUAACUACCACCCUGGUAAGGCAAAUGUAGUGGUAGAUGCACUUAGUAGAAAGAAGCAAUGCAACCACAUAUCAAUUGAAGGGUAUGGCAAAGAGCUACUACAGGAUCUUGCAAAGAUGGGAAUAGAGCUGAGAGAGGCCACAUCUAGUGCUAAUAUAGCAGCCAUGACAUUUCACCCCACAUUGCUAGAUCAGAUUAAGGAAAAGCAAGCAACGGAUGCAUUUAUCAAGGAGGAAAUGAGAAGAAUUCAAGCGGGACAGCCUUCACAAUUCAGGUUGGACCAGGAAGGAGUUCUUUGGAACCAUAGUAGGAUCUGUGUGCCAGAUGACCUUCAGAUCAAGGAAAUUAUUUUGCAUGAAGCUCAUGACACUUUGUACACUAUCCAUCCUGGGAGCACGAAGAUGUAUAAGGAUGUGAAGGGAAAUUUUUGGUGGCCUGGUAUGAAGAGGGAAAUCACAGAAUAUGUCAGCAAGUGUGACACUUGUCAGAGGGUAAAAGCGGAGCAUCAAAGACCUGUCGGGUUACUAAAGCCAUUAGAGACACCAGAGUGGAAAUGGGAAGAUCUUUGUAUGGAUUUUAUUACUGGUUUGCCUAUGAAACCAAAGAAGAAGGAUGCCAUAUGGGUUGUGGUCGACCGACUCACUAAGUCAGCACACUUCAUUGCUACAAACCAGAAAUAUUCCUUUGAUAAGUUGGCUAAAUUGUACUUAGAGAGAAUAGUUGCCCUCCCUGGUGUGCCAAAGACCAUAACAUCUGACCGAGGUUCCGUGUUUACAUCAAGCUUUUGGAAGAGCCUAUAG
rnacentral:rRNA from 1 species